rnacentral:rRNA from 1 species
UACAGAGGGGGCAAGCGUUGUUCGGAAUUACUGGGCGUAAAGGGCGCGUAGGCGGCCACCUAAGUCAGACGUGAAAUCCCUCGGCUCAACCGGGGAACUGCGUCUGAUACUGGGUGGCUUGAAUCCGGGAGAGGGAUGCGGAAUUCCAGGUGUAGCGGUGAAAUGCGUAGAUAUCUGGAGGAACACCGGUGGCGAAGGCGGCAUCCUGGACCGGCAUUGACGCUGAGGCGCGAAAGCUAGGGGAGCAAACGGG